GACUCAUCAAUCUCCUCUCCCUGAACUCAUCUUCAGAUAAAAUGGGUAAUUGCCGCAGAAAUGUCCUGUGCCUCUUCUCUCUCCUCUUCCUCCUCUCAAUCUUCAACGUAAUCCAGGCAUCUCGUGCCCAUGCCCGUGGACACGCCGGCGGCGUAGGAAUACUCCAUCCUAAAGAGUGCAAAGGGAGGUGCAGUCGUCGAUGCAUGGGGACGUUGCACAAGAAGGCAUGCAUGCUAAUGUGUAU